rnacentral:rRNA from 1 species
UACGAGUGCUUCGAGCGUUAUCCGGAAUCAUUGGGCGUAAAGGGUGCGUAGGCGGCGCGGUAAGUCGGGUGUGAAAUCUCGGAGCUUAACUCCGAAACUGCAUUCGAUACUGCCGUGCUCGAGGACUGGAGAGGAGACUGGAAUUUACGGUGUAGCGGUGAAAUGCGUAGAUAUCGUAAGGAAGACCAGUGGCGAAGGCGGGUCUCUGGACAGUUCCUGACGCUGAGGCACGAAGGCCAGGGGAGCAAACGGG